rnacentral:rRNA from 1 species
GACGAACGCUGGCGGCGUGCUUAACACAUGCAAGUCGUACGGUAAGGCCCUUUCGGGGGUCCACGAGUGGCGAACGGGUGAGUAACACGUGAGUAACCUGCCCACAACUUUGGGAUAACGCUAGGAAACUGGUGCUAAUACUGGAUAUGUGCCCCUGCUGCAUGGUGGGGGUUGGAAAGCUCCGGCGGUUGUGGAUGGACUCGCGGCCUAUCAGCUUGUUGGUGGGGUAGUGGCCUACCAAGGCGGCGACGGGUAGCCGGCCUGAGAGGGUGACCGGCCACAUUGGGACUGAGAUACGGCCCAGACUCCUACGGGAGGCAGCAGUGGGGAAUAUUGCACAAUGGGCGCAAGCCUGAUGCAGCAACGCCGCGUGCGGGAUGACGGCCUUCGGGUUGUAAACCGCUUUCAGCAGGGACGAAGCUUUUUGUGACGGUACCUGCAGAAGAAGCACCGGCUAACUACGU